rnacentral:rRNA from 1 species
GAGUGGCGAACGGGUGAGUAAUACGUGAGUAACCUGCCCUUGACUCUGGGAUAAGCCCGGGAAACUGGGUCUAAUACUGGAUGCUACAUGUCACCGCAUGGUGGUGUGUGGAAAGGGUUUACUGGUCUUGGAUGGGCUCACGGCCUAUCAGCUUGUUGGUGAGGUAAUGGCUCACCAAGGCGACGACGGGUAGCCGGCCUGAGAGGGUGACCGGCCACACUGGGACUGAGACACGGCCCAGACUCCUACGGGAGGCAGCAGUGGGGAAUAUUGCACAAUGGGCGAAAGCCUGAUGCAGCGACGCCGCGUGAGGGAUGACGGCCUUCGGGUUGUAAACCUCUUUCAGCAGGGAAGAAGCCACAAGUGACGGUACCUGCAGAAGAAGCGCCGGCUAACUACGUGCCAGCAGCCGCGGUAAUACGUAGGGCGCAAGCGUUGUCCGGAAUUAUUGGGCGUAAAGAGCUCGUAGGCGGUUUGUCGCGUCUGCUGUGAAAGCCCGGGGCUUAACCCCGGGUGUGCAGUGGGUACGGGCAGACUAGAGUGCAGUAGGGGAGACUGGAAUUCCUGGUGUAGCGGUGGAAUGCGCAGAUAUCAGGAGGAACACCGAUGGCGAAGGCAGGUCUCUGGGCUGUUACUGACGCUGAGGAGCGAAAGCAUGGGGAGCGAACAGGAUUAGAUACCCUGGUAGUCCAUGCCGUAAACGUUGGGCACUAGGUGUGGGGGACAUUCCACGUUUUCCGCGCCGUAGCUAACGCAUUAAGUGCCCCGCCUGGGGAGUACGGCCGCAAGGCUAAAACUC